rnacentral:rRNA from 1 species
AUUGAACGCUGGCGGCAUGCUUUACACAUGCAAGUCGGACGGCAGCACAGAGAAGCUUGCUUCUUGGGUGGCGAGUGGCGCACGGGUGAGUAAUAUAUCGGAACGUACCGAGUAAUGGGGGAUAACUAAUCGAAAGAUUAGCUAAUACCGCAUAUUCUCUGAGGAGGAAAGCAGGGGACCUUCGGGCCUUGCGUUAUUCGAGCGGCCGAUAUCUGAUUAGCUAGUUGGUGGGGUAAAGGCCUACCAAGGCGACGAUCAGUAGCGGGUCUGAAAGGAUGAUCCGCCACACUGGGACUGAGACACGGCCCAGACUCCUACGGGAGGCAGCAGUGGGGAAUUUUGGACAAUGGGCGCAAGCCUGAUCCAGCCAUGCCGCGUGUCUGAAGAAGGCCUUCGGGUUGUAAAGGACUUUUGUCAGGGAAGAAAAGGCUGUUGCUAAUACCGACAGCUGAUGACGGUACCUGAAGAAUAAGCACCGGCUAACUACGUG